rnacentral:sRNA from 1 species
CACGUUUGACGCGUGCUACAUAGAAACCCACAAGAAAGGCCAAAAGAGCCCGAUUAACAGACUGGGCGAGUGAGCGAGAGAGAGAGAGACAGAGACUGUGUGCUCUCGAAAUGGGUUAAGAAUCAUAGUAGGCAAGAGACGCAGUCAAAACACAAGACAAACAGCGAACAAGUCGCAUUCCUGCGCCGACUGCGCAGUCAUACCAUGAACAGCAGCAGCAGCAGCAACAGGCAGCUGCGCAGACGCUUUGACUACGUGUUGAGUCAGUGCGCGUCGAGAUCUUCAGCGAGCGAGUCGGCGAAUUUGUGCUCCCGCCCCCUCUCGCUCGUUCUCUUCCUCUGUGCGCUUGUGUAUUGAACUUUCUUCCGCUGCGGGGCGCUUUUUCAUGUAAAUUGUGCUGGGUUAUUUGUGGACAGAGGCAGACGAAGACAACAACAACAAGUGGCUGCGCAGUCAGCGUAGGAAAGUGCAAAAACCAACAAGUUGCUUGGCAGACGUGGCAAAAAAACAACA